rnacentral:rRNA from 1 species
AUUGAACGCUGGCGGCAUGCCUUACACAUGCAAGUCGAACGGUAACAGGUCUUCGGAUGCUGACGAGUGGCGAACGGGUGAGUAAUACAUCGGAACGUGCCUAGUAGUGGGGGAAAACUACUCGAAAGAGUGGCUAAUACCGCAUGAGAUCUACGGAUGAAAGCAGGGGAUCGCAAGACCUCGUGCUACUAGAGCGGCCGAUGGCCGAUUAGGGAGUUGGUGGGAUAAAAGCUUACCAAGCCGACGAUCUGUAGCUGGUCUGAGAGGACGAUCAGCCACACUGGGACUGAGACACGGCCCAGACCCCUACGGGAGGCAGCAGUGGGAAAUUUUGGACAAUGGGCGCAAGCCUGGUCCAGCAAUGCCGCGUGCAGGAUGAAGGCCCUCGGUUUGUAAACUGAUUUUGUACUGAACGAAAAGCACAGGGUUAAUACCCUGGGGUCAUGACGGUACCGUAAGAAUAAGCACCGGCUAACUACGUGCCAGCAGCCGCCGUAAAAC